CAGUAGCCACGGGAAUACGAAGGGGGCUAGCGUUGCUCGGAAUGACUGGGCGUAAAGGGCGCGUAGGCGGCGGCCAAAGUCAGGCGUGAAAUUCCCGGGCUCAACCUGGGGGCUGCGUUUGAUACUUGGUUGCUUGAGUGGGGAAGAGGGUCGUGGAAUUCCCAGUGUAGAGGUGAAAUUCGUAGAUAUUGGGAAGAACACCGGUGGCGAAGGCGGCGACCUGGUCCUUUACUGACGCUGAGGCGCGAAAGCGUGGGGAGCAAACAGGAUUAGAUACCCCUGUAGUCCCUGUCUCUUAUAC
rnacentral:rRNA from 1 species